GACGAACGCUGGCGGCGUGCUUAACACAUGCAAGUCGAACGGAAAGGCCCUGCUUUUGUGGGGUGCUCGAGUGGCGAACGGGUGAGUAACACGUGAGUAACCUGCCCUUGACUUUGGGAUAACUUCAGGAAACUGGGGCUAAUACCGGAUAGGAGCUCCUGCUGCAUGGUGGGGGUUGGAAAGUUUCGGCGGUUGGGGAUGGACUCGCGGCUUAUCAGCUUGUUGGUGGGGUAGUGGCUUACCAAGGCUUUGACGGGUAGCCGGCCUGAGAGGGUGACCGGCCACAUUGGGACGGAGAUACGGCCCAGACUCCUACGGGAGGCAGCAGUGGGGAAGAGUGCACAAUGGGCGGAAGCCUGAUGCAGCAACGCCGCGUGCGGGAUGACGGCCUUCGGGUUGUAAACCGCUUUCGCCUGUGACGAAGCGUGAGUGACGGUAAUGGGUAAAGAAGCACCGGCUAACUACGUG
rnacentral:rRNA from 1 species